GUGAGGAAUUUUCCGCAAUGGGCGAAAGCCUGACGGAGCAAUGCCGCGUGAAGGAUGAAGGCCUAUGGGUUGUAAACUUCUUUUCUCAGAAAAGAAUUAUGACGGUAUCUGAGGAAUAAGCAUCGGCUAACUCUGUGCCAGCAGCCGCGGUAAGACAGAGGAUGCAAGCGUUAUCCGGAAUGAUUGGGCGUAAAGCGUCUGUAGGUUGUUUAAAAAGUAUUCUGUCAAAGAUUAGGGCUUAACCCUAGAUAGGCAGAAUAAACUUUUAAGCUAGAGUUUGGUAGAGGCAGAGGGAAUUCCCUGUGGAGCGGUGAAAUGCGUAGAUAUCGGGAGGAACACCAAAGGCGAAGGCACUCUGCUGGGCCAAUACUAACACUGAGAGACGAAAGCGAGGGGAGCAAAUGGGAUUAGAAACCCCAGUAGUCC
rnacentral:rRNA from 1 species